AAUUAGGACAGCUGCCGUCAACGAGCCAAAGGGAUAUUCCAUACCAUAUGACAUCAAGUGGAAGGGGUUUUGAAGGGGGUGGGAGUUCAUCUCACUCUCUUCCUCUGCUUGGCCAUUGGUUGGGAGGUGCUGAGCCACCGCUUCUACAUCACUUGUUACAUACAUUCGUAAAUAGACAUAUAUAUUACUUCGGUCCUUCCUUUUCUCUACCUUUGGAAAGAGAUUUCUCUCAACGCAUUAGUUCCACCUUCUUUUUUUUCCCCCCCAUAAUUCUCUCCCCCAUCCCACUGGGAAGGGGGGAGUAAGCAAAGGACUGUGUGGUGCUGAGCCACCCACCGGCUUAAACCACAACAGGGCCGUGGGGCAAUGGCAGCAGACGUGAAGUGCACUGGGCUCAGCAGGAAAUGAAAACCAUCUGGAGGUACGCAAGCCCACUCUUUCAUUUUCCAGAAAACA
ensembl:lncRNA